CUAGACCUAUCCAUAACCCUAUCCCAGCCAGUUCUAUUGUGUGAGACAAUCACUCAGCAGCUGUGGCCCAUUUGUAAAAGGGAGUGACCUGCAUGCUUAACUCGUGGCUACGUAAGAGACCAUGUCUACCAGGGGAAUUAGCAGAUCAGCUCACAGAGCAACAGAUGUGGCCCACACCCAUUCGAGGGAGAGAGAAAAAAAAACACAUUGCGCAUGGGUCUCCAACUUAACACCACUGUCAACUUAACAGCAAAGCAGUUGCACAAAUUCAUCAAGAAAAGGGAGUUAACGAAAAACGUAUUGUUUGACUUGGAAUGGCACUGACUGACAUCAUCAUGAAGGCAUCAACCACAGCAGGUCCGGCAAUAACCAUGACAUCGCCAGAAGCCUUCGAACAAGGAAUCAUUGAGGACGUCACCCGUCUGGUCACACAGAAUUUCACAGAACACUUCACACAACCCUUCAGAGCUGGAGUUCUGACAACAACUUCUGCAGAUAUGACUGAAACAAACUCAGCCGCUUUUUUAGUGGGAGCCGCCCACGUAGAGGAUGGAUCCUUUGAAGCCAUUUUCGGAGGAGUCAUUUUUGCCCUGUUCCUGGCGCUGCUCCUGGCGUUGCUGAUACUGCGCUACAUUGUCAAGCAUAAGGGCACUUACCACACCAACGAGGCCGACUGUGGUGAUUCCGUAAACAAGUUUGGCGUGGAAGAGUUGAGCUCUCCAACAGCAUCCAUCUGUGAUGAGCAUGUCCUGCACUGAAACCUAGCCACUGAACACCUCUACCCCUGUCCUGCACUGAAACCUAGCCACUGAACACCUCUACCCCUGUCCUGCACUGAAACCUAGCCACUGAACACCUCUACCCCUGUCCUGCACUGAAACCUAGCCACUGAACACCUCUACCCUGUCCUGCACUGAAACCUAGCCACUGAACACCUCUACCCCUGACCUGCACUGAAACCUAGCCACUGAACACCUCUACCCUGUCCUGCACUGAAGCCUCUGAACACCUCAAACCCUGACCUGCACUGAAGUCAAGCCUCUCGAACAACUCAGCUCAUGUCUUAUAACCUCAUUCAGUCACUGCUGUGAUCCCUUCCCAACACU
rnacentral:lncRNA from 1 species